AGAGUUUGAUCAUGGCUUAGAACGAACGCUGGCGGCGCGUUUUAAGCAUGCAAGUCGAACGGUAGUAUGGUGCUUGCUCCAUAUGAGAGUGGCAAACGGGUGAAUAACACGUAAGUGAUCUACCUAGAAGUUGGGGAUAGCCUGGGGAAACACAGGGAAAUACCGGAUGUGGCCCUGUGCUUUCGGGCGCAUGGAGAAAGAGGCUAAAGACUUGCUUUUAGAUGAGCCUGCGGCUCAUUAACUGGUUGGUGGGGUAAAGGCCUACCAAGGCGACGAUGAGGAGCCGGCCUGAUAGGGCGACCGGCCACACUGGGACUGAUACACGGCACCAGACUCCUACCGGAGGCAGCAGCUAAGAAUCUUCCGCAAUGGCCAAAAGGCUGACGGAACGACUCCGCGUGGACGAUGAACGCCAGAAGGUUGCAAAGUCCUUUUCACAAAGAACAAUAAAGCAGGGAGGGAAUGCCCUGCCGAUGACAUUAUCUGAGGAAUAAGCCCCGGCUAAUUACAUGCCACCACCCGCGGUAACACCUAAGGGGCAAGCGUUGUUCGGAAUUAUUGGGCGUAAAGGGCGCGUAUGCUGCUUGACAAUCCUGGUGUGAAAGGUCACAGCUUAACUGUGGGAGUGCGCUGGAAACUGCUUGGCUAGAGCUCAAGAGGGCAAGCUGGACUUCCUGACUGUAGGGUGAAAUCUGUAGAUAUCAUGAAGAACACCAAUGGCAAAUGCGAGCAUCUGGCUAUGAACUGACGCUGAGGCGCGAAAUUGUGGGGAGCGAUCAUGAUUAGAUACCCUGGUAGUCCACGCUGUAAGAGAUGUGCACUAGGUGUUGGCUGUAGUAACGGUCAGUAAGGAAGCAAACGCGAUAAGUGCACCGCAUGGGGAGUAUGCUAGCAAGGGUGAAACUCAAAGGAAUUGACGGGGGCCAGCACAAGCGGUUGAGCAUGUGGUUUAAUUCGAUGAUACGCGAGGACCCUUUCCAGGGCUUGACAUAUGCAUGAUGAUCAUAGAGAUAUGGUUUCCAUUAGGGGAGUGUAUACAGGUGUUUCAUGACUGUGGUCAGCUAGAGCUGUGAAGUGUUGGGUUAAGUCCCGCAACGAGCGCAACCCGUGCUGUCUGUUACCAGCAAGUAAUGUUGGGGAAUCAGACGGUACUUCAGGUGACAAACCGGAGGAAGGUGGGGAAGUCGUCAAGUCAUCAUGGCCCUUAUGUCCUGGGGUACACACGUGCUACAAUGGUAGGUACAGAGCGGUGCGAUACCGAGAGGUGGAGCAAAUCGCAGAAAACCGGUGUCAGUCCGGAUCGGAGUCUGCAACUCGAAUCCGUGAAGUUGGAAUCGCUAGUAAUAGCGGAUCAGCAUGCCACGGUGAAUACGUUCCCGGCCCUUGUACACUCCGCCCGUCACACCACGAAAGUCGGUUGUACCAGAAGUUGCCGGGCUAACCCAAAAGGGGGGCAGGCACCCAAGGUAUGGCUGGUAAUUGGGGUGAAGUCGUAACAAGGUA
rnacentral:rRNA from 1 species